AUUCGGCAGCGGCUCGCGGCCCGGAGCCCCCUGGGGCACACGGAGGCCCGGGCGGCCGCGCCCCCGGGGCCGGGCCUCGGGGCGGGGGGUGCUGGGGCCAAGGCGCCGCACGGGCGCCCAACCUCGGGGUGCCGCCUCCACAGGCUGUGGCUGGGGCUGGGGCGCGGGAGGCCCGCGGGGCUUCGGAGAGGGAAACUUAGAGAAAAGUCUUCCACUUGGCUUGGGGCCGCAGGGGAAGGAAGACGCCCUCCGCCUGUGCCGGCGCCGACCGCGGGCCGGCAGGUGGGGAGGCCCAGAGCUGGCGGGGAGUUCGUCCCACUCGGAGCCACAGCCUUGCCCGAGGGAGCCUCGAAAUCGUUCAAGGGCAACCUCAGACCAGAGCCAGGGCGCCUCCUCCACAUUCCUGACAGAUGUGCACGCCGCCUCCUCUUGGAUGCUUCCCGUGACAAGGAGCUCACUCCUCAACAAGGCGGACUGCUCGUCCAUCAAGCCUGGCAUCUAAUUCACCUGUGCCGGGUACCGCAGAUGGAGAACGCCAGACAGCUGACACAAAUGCAAGACCCACAGCAACCCCAGGUGGGACCGUGAGGCCUCUUCUAAGUGCCUGGGUGUUCAAAAAUGCCUCCCGAGCCCAGUGUUUUCCCAGAGCAUUUCCCAGAGUGACUGAGCAGGACUGGACCCUAUUAGGUCACCUCAGUCUCAUGCAGGAUUUCUUUACCUGGCCGCUACUGCCAUUUGGGGCCGGCUAAUGCUUUGUUAUUGGGGCUAAUGCUUUGUUAUUGGGGCCAGCUAAUGCUUUGUUAUUAAACCUCCUUCAAAACUGCAGGAGGUUUAACGGUAUCCAUGGCCUCUCCAUGAUUCAUAAAAUACCCAUAGCAUCAGCCUCUCUCUGUAACGACCAGAAAUGUCUCUAGAUAUCACAAGUGUCCUCCGGGGGCAAAAUCGUCGAGGUCUAAUACCAUCAUUUUAGAGAUAAGGAAACUGAGGCCUAGAGAGUGGAGGUGACUUGCUCAAGGCCAUAUGGCAAGUGAGGACCAGACAGGACUGAGCCCAGGGCUCUGGUGAAAGGAUCCCCAGGCCUCUCUGCCCUGCUGCUCUCUCCUCACACCCUCCUCCUCCAUCUUCCCUGGAUUUCCACCAAAUCAGCCUGCCUUCUAGAAGUUAGAAAGAAAAGAAUUCACAUCUGAGCAUACACGAAAAGUCCAGCCUUCCCCCUGGGAUGUAAAAUGGUGCAGCCACUUUGGAAAAGAGUCUAGCAGUUCCUCAAAAAGUUAAACGUCAAGUUAAGCAUAUGGCCCAGUAAUUGCAUUCCUAGUUAUGUAGCCAAGAAAAAUGAAAACAUGUUCAUGCAAAAACUUAUACAUGAGUGUUCAUGUAUAAGUUUAUAAUAGUAUAUACUAUAUAUAUAGUAUAUAAUACUACUAUAAAGAGUAGUAUUGUUCAUACUAGCCAAAAGGUGGAAACAAUCUAAUGUCAUCAGUUGACAAAUGGAUAAACACAAUGUGAUACAUCCAUACAGUGGAAUAUUAUUAGGCCAUGAAAAGGAAUGAAGUACUGGCACAUGCUACACCAUGCAUAAACCUCAAAAGCAUUAUGCUCAGUGAAAGAAGCUAGUCACGAAGGACCACAUUCCAUUUAUAUGAAGUGUCCAGUAUAGGCAAGUCCAGAGAGACAGAAAAUACUCUAGUGAUUGUCAGAAUCCUGGGGAAGAGAAGAAAAUGAGGAAUGACUGCUAAGAGUUAUGGGGUGAUGAAAAUGUUCUAAAAUUCAUUGUAGUGAUGGUUGCACAACUCUGGCUACAGUAAAAACCAUUGAAUUGUAUGCUGUAAGUGGGUGAAUUGUACAGUAUACAAAUUAUACCUCAAUAAAGCUGUUAUUUUUUUUUAAGGGGGGGAAAAAGUACAGCCUCCAGGAGGCCACCCUGACUACUCCAGCUCACACCCCUUCCCCCUCUGCCCAGAUUCCUACAGGUUCCCUUCGUUAGGUCAUAACCACCCCCCACUGACUUUUCCUCUCCUCCAGAGGCUGAAUUAUUUCCUCCUGGAUGGGAAUGAGUCAUCUCCUCCGCCGUCUCCCUCAACAGGGCUGUAACAUGUUUCCAAGGGUUUCAAAGCCCUGUUUGAAAACAUGGGCUUUGCGGACAGACCCAUGUUCAACUUCAACCCCAGCGGCUUCUGGGUGGGUGGCCUUGAGCAAGUCUCUUCCCAAAGGCUCAUCUUGCUCAUCUAUAAACACAGUGAGUACAAAUGAGAUGGACAAGAAGACCCCUGCCUCCAGGGCCCCAUUAUUAUUCCUUAGUUGUUUCUAAAACAAGUCUGCAGGCCACUCUCAGGCCUCCCUGGACCCCAGGGAAGCGGUCUAUAUAACUACUGCACCUAGAACAGUCCUUCAGCCCCCUCCCAGGCUGAUCUGAAAGGUUUCCUUCAGCUCCCUGGAUCACUGCUGAGAAACACAGGACAAGUCUCUUAAAGCCUGGCUUCCAUGGGCCUAGCCCCAAUGCUCACCUGCUCUGAGAAGCCAGAAUUCCUCAGGUGGACACCAGAUGGAGCCCCGCCAUGACCCUGUUGCUGAUAAAUGACCAUAGAGGAGACAGUCACAAUUCCAAGAAUCUGAGCAGCCCCUUUUGGUUGUGGCCCAUGGUGCACCUUGGCCAAGCUUGCCCUCUGCUCUCUUCCUGGGUCCUCUUUUCAUUCCCAAGUCCUCAUGCUCUGAAUUCCUGACCAAUAAAAUGGUUGCUGUUUGGGAUAUUUUGUUUGGCAAAAGUAGAUCAUCAGAAAACAGCUCAUCUUGCGAGGGUUCCAUCUUCUUCUGACCCCCAACAAGGUUUUACAUGUCCAUUUCCUCCAUUUUAAAGAUUUGGAGAAAUCUUUAAAAGAGAGGCGGACAGAGACAAGCUC
rnacentral:lncRNA from 1 species